rnacentral:rRNA from 1 species
UACAGAGACCUCAAGCGUUAUCCGGAAUCAUUGGGCGUAAAGCGUACCGAUAGGUGGCUUACAAAGUCAGAAGUGAAAUCCUAAGGCUUAACCUUGGGAAUGUCUUUUGAAACUUGUGAGCUAGAGGGGCAAAGAGGAAGCUGGAACGAACGGUGUAGUAGUGAAAUGCGUUGAUAUCGUUCGGAACACCAAUAGCGUAGGCAGGCUUCUGGGUGCCACCUGACACUGCUAGGACGAGAGCGUGGGGAGCGAAUGGG